AACAUAAAAUUAAAUUGAAUUUAUGCAAAUGAUACUUUUGCACGGUAUGUUACAAAGUUGAUAUAAUAUAAAAUAGCUAUUAAAUGGCGUACCAUAUCAUAAAUAACCGUCUCACAGUCAUAUGCAACUUCUUUUUCAAACUGAAAAUCUACAUUAAAUAUUAGUUUACAUUAUUCUUAUGCUACAUUUGGAUAUGGAUAUGAAGAUGAUUGUUCUAAUUUUGUUUCUGACAACAACUAUUUUAUGCUUUGGUGUUGGGAAUGGAGAAGAAAUGGUUUCAGAUUAUGAUGACGCUUUAAGACAUGUAAGAGAAGAUGAAAGAAUAUCUGGAAAAGAUGACAUGGCGUCGUUGAUGAAAGAUCAUCAUAGAGGU